GCCGGCUUUGCAGAGGGACGCUUGGAGGAAGCUCCGGGAGGGAAAGCCGCGUCCACACCUCUUUCCAGGAUAUGGUGGGGCCCAGGGACCCCUCCCCUCCGACUGAGCCCCAGAGACCCCCUACUUAGGCCAUAAGGGGAAAACCGAGCUCCUGCUGGCCCAGGCAUCAGAAUUCCUCAGGGAGGAAAAGUUGCCUAUCUGUUGGGUCAGAUUUCUGAAGACUGAUGAGGCCCAUUUUCUGACAAAUGGCAAGAGUUUAGAAAGUGCCAGUGACGUGCCUGAUAGAAUCUCACCACAAGAUGGACACCAGCCCAUCAGAAGCCUGGAGAGCCCACCUAGCAUGAGACCUCUGUGGGUCCAGGAUCUUGGAAUGGCAUCCCAUGGCUUAAUCUUCCGAAUUCAAUCAAAUAAAGUUGCCCCACCUAUGUCGUGUACCCAAGCUUCCUACCAAGUCUCCUUAGCUUAAAUGCAAGAUUAGUACUAUUUUGUUCAUCUUGAUUGGAGGGAGAAAUGAAUAGAUCCACGCACAUAUAUUUCUUUUACCACAACAAGAUGAUGAAGAAAUAAAUCCAUAAUAUUGAUACUUUUGUAUAAGCUGUGUGUACAGUUGCAGUAAGAAAUUUUAUAAUCUUUGAUUUGCUUUAUAUAGUUUCUGCUUGCUUUUUAUGAUAUUUAAAACAAAAUCUAAGCAACAAAUUUUAUGUCUGAUUAGAUUUACAGAAGCUGCUUAAGUGCUUAGGGAUAAUUUGUUCAUCAUAUUUGUAAGUCUCCCUUGUUAGGUGUUUGAAGUGUUUGAAUUGGCUAAAUUAAAUUUGUAAUUGUAGUUGAAAUAUCUAAAGGAAUUUUCUUAAUUAAAUGUUUAAAUGAUGUUAAAAGUUUAUGAGAAUUUAAUCUAUCAAAUUUAUGAGUUAAUUGAAUAUGAAUCAAUGAACAAGUAAAUGUGAUCUUGCUCUUAUAUAAAAACUACUAAGUUCAUAAAUAAAAUACAAAGAUCCAUAAGUUGGGAGGAAAAGCAAAAG